rnacentral:lncRNA from 1 species
UUGUAUUGUAACUAGAAAUUUACCAAUUACCAAAUUCCUAUUCAGAGUAGUAGGACAAAAUUAUAAAAUCUCUAAGUAUCAACUUUUAAAAAAAAAAAAAAAAAAAAAAAACUAAUAUAUCAACCAAAGUGUUAUUAUCCAAAUAACUCCCAACUCAAAAUAAUUCAAACGAGAAUUAAAUUUUAACAUUUAAACAAUGUCCAAAAUAAAAAGAGUUUAAACAAAUAUCCUAUUAAAGCCAAAUUUCCCUCCUAACGAUCACUCAUCGCUCGAACAGAGGUUACAUGAAAGAUUAUCAACAAAGGGGGAUGAGCUCAAAGCCCAAUAAGAAACAUUACUACAGUUUCAUGGAUCAAACAUUUUCAAUCAUCCUUGCAAAUAGGAGAUAUAACAUAUACUUAUUUUCAUAAAAUACUUUUGAGUUCAAAAUGCUAAUACAUUCAAACUUUUCAACAAAAAUUUCUCAUAUUCAUUUCAAAACCAAAUCAAAUACAUUCAAAAUAUCUUUACUCAGGUUAUCAAAUGACAAAUGGUGCCCAAUUAGGUGGGACUUCACAAUUGAGCAACUAGUUUCAAAUUUGUUCCAUUUAAGGUGAACAAAACCAAAUGUCAACAAUUAUAACUUGUUGACUAGGGUCAUAUAAUCCAAAGUCAAACAUUUUAUUUCAUUAAUUCAAACUUACAAAACAAAACAUCAUAUCUUCUCAAUUUUUCAUUUUUCAUAAACAAAAAAAAAUGUUCAAAUAUACUUUUCACACAAAACAUAUAUUUGAUCCACACGUAAAGAUAAAAAUAAUAUUUUUACACAUUUCAAAAUACAAUAUAAAAAGAAAAUUAUUUUCUUUUACAAAAAUCUGCAUUAAUUUCCCUUAACUCAAAUAAGUACUCAAAAACCUUGAAGUAUUUAACCCUGAAGAAUUUCGUCUCAAAGAAUCUAUUUUAAACCUAACAAAAAAAAAAAAAAAAAAAAAGACAACUAUUACUAUUAACUAUUUAUCUAAAUUUAUAGGUUUGAGAACCCUAAUAAUUUUCUAUAGUAUGUCACCUAUUAUUUUUAGUAGGAAUUUUCUUAACUAAGUCGACAUACUUUUACAAGCUCUUCUUAAGCUUUGAGUGGUUCAUAGUUUUUCCUAUAUUUAGUUUUACAUAAUUUUGGUGAACAGUGCAUGAGGAAGAACCAUAUAAAACCACAACUCACUUUUGGAUGCUAAAUCUACAAAAUAUAAAUUGAAAAAAAUAACGUAUUAGGAUAAAUAAUAAUUUAGAAAACAACUCCACAAAUGAAAUAUCAAGUAAAUGCAAAUUUAAUAUUUUAAAAGCUUAAUAAACUCAAUUAAAGAUAUAACCACAUGAUAUACAAACUUGGGGAAACUUAUGAAUACCACUAAUUUCAGAUGUCUAAAAUUUAUAUAUAUCCUAGACAACAUUUUGAUAUGUAAACUAAUACGUAAAUUUUUUUAAUUUUAAAAAGAAAAUUUGGCAGCCAAGCUAGAAAUUUAGCAUAUUCCUAUAAUAUAAAGAAAAAUAAAUUAACUAGAUGCCUUAAUGCAUUGCUCUAUCACACUAUUUAAUAGGAUUUAGAUACUACAUAUUCAAUGUUGUCUAAAAAGUCAACAUAAAUAAUAUAAGAGGAAAAUAACAUUUUGCCUUACACAAUUAAUCCUACUAAAAGUUUGUUUUGUUAACUCAUUCAUCUAAUAACAUAUUUCAAGAUGAAUUAUUUGAGCUAAUUUUCUCAAGGAAAUAAUUACUUUGGUGAUAGCUACAUAUUAGCCUAUUUUUAUGAUAUGAUGUAUCAAUUAAUAAUUGUCUUCAUUCACUAAGAUAUUGACAAUGAUUUCAAUAUAUUGGUCGAUAGAAUCCAUGUUUAUUUUAUUGAAUGUCAAUUCAAUACCUUAUAAACUAAACAACCAAGCAAUUAAUAAGUGUAAAAUGAAUUGAUAUUGGGAAAUCCAAGCCUAGGAAGUUUAAGGGGAAGUGAAGUAAAAUAGCCUUGACAAAGAAAAAAUUCAAAGAAAUUGGUAUAAUAUAGCCAUGUCCCUCUACUUGGAUUUUCAAGACCUAGAAACAUGGUUAGCUCCUGUAAAAAUUUCCAUUUCCAUGCUCUUUUAUAACACUAUCCCUUCGAUGUGACUAUUUCAAUAUCCUUUAUUUUAAAAAAAUGUUGUCUGUUUUACUUUGCUUAGUUCAAUGUUCAUUCCCAAGAAGUGCUUAUUCUUUAUACUCGAUAUCCUCACUAUGAAUUAGUUGUACUCCAGAAAUUACUUAAUGGUUGUAAUAUUUCAGGCGCACUUCUACCUAUCACUUUUAGCAAAUGUGAUUUGCUAGAGUAAUGUACUUAAAAGCCUACUGCAUCACUCAAGAAGAAUACCCAAACAAACCAACAUAGUCAUAAGGCACCAUAACAAGACAUACAGUAAUUAGUAACUUUGAUGAAAGAGAGGUUUUGUUUUUAUUUUAGUAACUUUGGCAUAGUUGAUGUUUGAAAAUGCUGAGGGAAUGCAUCCCUUGGCAGUGAUUUCAAUUGGGGGCAUUCAGAAAUCUAGCCUUUCCCUAAUAUCCUUCAUUCUAUGAUUCAUCCAGACCAAAAAAGCACCCAGCAUGUCUGUCUUUCUCCACAAGUCCUCCGUUGCUAAGUCAUCAACAUACUAUAAAACAUCUUUAAGCUUCUGUACCCAAGUCGUUACUGUCGCUCCUCUUCAGCAUCAGCAAGUACAAAUUUGUUCAGCCAUCUUUCAAAGGUCUAAGGGAAAAUGAAAGGAGUUUUAGCAACAGAAAAAAUGAGAAAAGCCAAGUGAGGACUGAAGGGUCUGAAUAAACUUGGGUGUGUUUGCUCUGUUCAAUUCAAGUGGGAUUAAUUACUUGACCCUCAUGAUUGACCUACCCACCAUAUUUUUCAUUAAGUUUUUGUAAGCUUUCAUUCUUCUUAUUUCCAUUUAACAUGCAAGUUGUGCUUAUAUAUGCCACAGAUGAUCCAAAGAAGACAGAACACUUGCUUGCACUUGAAGGUGCUAAAGAAAGGCUUCAUUUGUUUGAAGCAAACUUACUUGAAGAAGGAUCCUUUGAUUCUGUGGUUGAUGGAUGUGAUGGAGUAUUUCAUACAGCAUCCCCAGUUGUGAUAAUAGUUGACGAUCCCCAGGUUUAUCCUAUAUUGGUUCCAUUGGCAUACUGUAAAAUUUAGUAUUGUCUAUAUUCUUUUCCAAUCAGUUACUGAUCUUGAAAUUACUAACGAAUCAUGAAUUGUUAAUUUGCAUGAUUCUUCUUUCUGUAUGUGGUUUCUUCAACUGAUCCAAUGGCAGUGAAUGCUGAUUUCAUUAAACCAAUACAAUGGUGGAAAAGAGAGAAAUUGAUAUUGGAUUUUUUAUAUUCUGCUUAUGUGCAAAAAUAUUGAAGAUGUUGGAUCUCGAGUUUGCUCUUAUUUCUUUUUUUUUUUCCUUUCUUUCUUUCAUUCUUCCCCCUAAUCCUUCUUUUCUCCACUUGUUAUGUUUGUUCAAAAGAAGAUAAAGGCCCUUUGUCUUGCAUCAAUAAGAACCAAAAACCCUGUGAAUAUUUAUUUAGGAAUGUAUAACUUCCUUGACAGCAGCAUGGGAAUGCUUACACCGUAACAUGGCUAUUCCAAUGGAAAUUUAUGGUGGCUGAUCCAAACACUCCUUGUGCUUUUUUGUUUUUUUGAAUAGGCAAAAGAGCAAAAGACAUGUUAAAGAGCCAAAAAAAAGGCUACACCAAGUACAUAGGAAGUACGCAUGUGCACACCAAAGAAAAACACAAAAACCCUCUUCUUAAUGGCAACCUAACCAAUUGAUAAAAUCAAUCAUACAAAAGGACUCUUGCCCUAGACCCCCUUUGGUCCAUUCUAAAAAGUUACAAAGAAAAGAGAAUUUUAGCUCGUGAUACGAAAGCUCAACAUUAUCAAAAGCCCUUCUAUUCCUCUCUUUUCAAAUAGUCCAAAACAAACAAAGAAGUGCAACAUUCCACACCUUUUUUUUCCUCCUCCCAACGGAUCGGCUAUGCCAACUAAGAAAUGUUGCUUGGACUGAGGUAUGCAACACCCAAACCAUUGCAAACAAGGAGAAAACUAAUUGCCAUAACAAACUAGCCUUAGAACAAUGAAGAAGGAUGUGAUUGCAAGAUUCCUUCUCAUCUUUACAUAAAAAGCAUUUGUUUACCAAAGUCCAACCUCUCUUCAAAUUGUCCAUAGUUAGAAUCCCCUUCCAAGUUACUUCCCAAAAAAAAAAAAAAAAACUCACUUUUAUUGGAGCCUAAGAAUUCCAAAUAAGCCUUGUUGGGAAAGAAUCUGAACCCCUUUGAACCAUCCCAUCAUAGAAAGAUUUAACUAAAAAUUGGCCUCCCUUUGUAGCCAUCCACACCACCUUGUCAUCCAUCUCCCUUCUCAUUAAUUUGCCAUGCAAACACAAAAGGAGUGCUUCAACAUAACCUAACUCUUAAUCUUGGAAAUUCCUUACAAAACAAGGGUUCCAACACCCCUCAAAAUCAAUAUGCUUCCAAACAUCACAUACCCAAGCCUCCUUUGAAGCGGUAGCAAACAAAGAGGGGAAAGAGGGGGUGCCCCCACACCAAAUGUCCUUCCAAAACCUUACCCUUCUUCCAUUGCCCAAAUCAGAGGAAAUCUUGUUUCUGAAAGAAUCCCAUCAUUUACUUAUAGCCUUCCACAAUCCUACGCCAUGACCCUUCCUUGUCUUCAAAGAGCACCAACCUGCUUCUUCUACCCAUUCUUACCAAUGAUUUCUUUCUUCCACAUGGUCUCCCCUUCUGACAUGAACCUUCAACUCCAUUUGCCUAAGAGAGCCUUGUUCAAAAUAGAAAGAUUUUGAAUGCCUCGCCCUCCCUCCUUUCACUUUUGGCUUACAAACUUGUGUCAACUCACUAAGUGAGGCUUAUUUGCAAGAGAACCCCCCUGCCCAAAGAAAGUCCUUUUGAAGUUUUUCCAAUUUACAACAAACCCUUCUUGAAAUAACAAAAAUGGACAUGAAAUAAAUGGGUAGGCUAGACAAGGUACUUUUGAUGAGAGUUAAACACCCCACCCCCUUGGACAAGCUUUGUUUCUUCCACCUUUUGAGCUUUCUUUCCAUCCGCUCUUGCCAAAGUCCCUCAUUGUUGUCAAUUUAAAGGUAGCACCCAAAGGAAGCCUAAGAUACUUCGAAGGUAAUGACCCCACUUUACACCCCAAAAUAUCCACCAACUCCUCCAUUAUUAUUUUUUUUUUUUGAUAAGUAAGCACCGAAUGUAUUGAUAAAAGGCCAAAAAGCCACACGUAUACAGGGAGUAUACAAUCUAGCUCAAGCCUCCCAAACCAAAAAAACAAAAAAACCCCACCAGCCCUUAUGUGGAGGCUAUCCACUCCAAGGAGCCUAUAAGAGACAUCGACCUCUCUCCACUAUCCACCAACUCCUCCAUUAUUGGAACCCUUCCAACUAAGAUUAGCUCACUUUUUUCAAGGUUGAUCUUAAGCCCAUAAAUUGCUUCAAACCACAUGAAGACCCAAUGAAGAUGCAAUAGUUGGUCCUUAGAAGCCUCACAAAAAAAUCAAUGUGUCAUCCGCAAAUAAAAGAUGAGACACCUCCACUCCCUUGCCACCUCUACUUCCCACCUUAAAUCCUGAAAUAAAAAAAUCCACCCCCCCCCCCCCCAAACAAACAAAAACUCCUUGUGAUUAUCUUCAAGAGUGGAGAGUUAUAGCAUUUUAACUGACAACCACUACCUCAAGGUGACUGAAGAUGCAUUCCACAAAAUGUUAGACAAGUUGCUUAUGAUUUUCUCCGGACCCUGAAUGCUAUAGGUAUAAGAAAUAGGUAAAUGUGCUUACUAAUAGUGGAUGCAUUCCACAAAAUGCUAGAGAAGUGGUUGUUUCCUUCUCUCUGAUCUCUUUCCUUACCUCCUUCCUCACCUCCCUCACCUUCCCAAAUUCCCUUUUCCUUUAUUUUCUCAAACAGCUCAGUUGCUCCACAUGAUUAUUUUUUUUAAAAUAGGAAUGCUUCACAAGAUUCAUAUAUUACCUCCUUGCUUAUAUUAGUUAGUUAGGCACUGCCCCUUAAAAACUCAAUUAAGUCUACAUGAUUAUACCUUUGAUGUAGUUAUGAAUACAAGGAUCAUCCAUAACUCCUCCAAUUGCAUGACAUAUUUGUUGUAUUAUUGAUUCUAAACUGGCACUGUCAUAACAUGAUCAGCAAAAAAAUAAAAAUGAAAAUAAAAGUUACUUCUACAAUUUGAUGGAUGAACCUUAUGGCUAUGUUUGGUUCCUAGAAAAUUUGAGGCAAAAUGCAAGGGAAAGAAAAUAGAAAGGAAAAGUAGAAAGAAAGAAAAAUUGAGGAAAAUUAAAAAUAGAUUUAAAGUCAAAAAUUAUUUUUAUAUGUUACUUCAAACUUAUUUCACUUAUUUUAACUAUUGAAUACAAAGAUUAAAUAAUUUGAAAAUUCAUAAGUUUCUAAUUAGUUCUAAUUAUAUUUGUCUUUCUUUGGUAUUUUCUAUAGAACAAUCAAACAUGAAAAAAUCAUUUUCCUUAGUGUUUUUUUUUUUAGUACUUUCCAAAAACCAAACAUAAUCUAUUGAGUUUGUCUAUGAUGAUUGGCAUGGGUUAUUUUGUUUAGGCUCAUUCACCAACCAACUAGUUUGUGGUGUACUGCUAUACUUCUUUUCCAAUUUUAUUUUAUUUUAUUUAUUUUUUUAUUUUUUUAUUUUUAUCAUAAUUCAUGUGUAACCGCAUUUCCUUUGUCACCAUCACCAUGUGACUCCAUAUAGUGGUUGGGAGAGUUAGAUCUUGGAACAGUUAUGGAAUAACUCCAUCAAUGUUGUGCAUCUUUCUUUGAAAUGUAGGAACGUGGAUUUUUUAUUUAUUUUUUAUUUUUUGAAUAUCUCCUUCUCAUAAAUAGGUAUGGUAUGCCCAACAACAUUUUAUUUUCUCAAAAUUCUUUGAUAACAUAGCUUAUCAAUAUGAUGAAAUGAUCAUAAUGUAUCUCAUCGACCUGAUUUCAUAUUGCACAAUGGAGCCUAGAUUUUGAAGUUCUCUCAGUUACGAAUGGAAAUCUUGUGUUGAUGUAAUGGCAGAUAUUGUUUUUUGUAGUUGGGAUUCUUCAAGAGUUUGGGAGGUGGGAGGAGUCCUAGAGGGAGAGCACUGUGCAGAGAGACCAACUUAGCUGGCUAAUGGAUUAUUCGGCUUCAGAGAAAUGCUUGGAUACAUCAGAACAUGAGAAAAUCUUUCAUUGACUUGUGUGCUAAUGUCUAUUCUCCCACAACUCUUUGAAUGCUUGUCACUGUAGAGUUCUUUAGGUUCCCUUAAAUGUAUAUACAUUCUUUUUUGGAUCAGAGAUCAAUAUGCCUUCCCGUCGGAGAGUGGUUUUGUGCUGGAGGAGGCACUGCCUGUGCUAUUUCUAGACUCCUGACUGUGGCCAGUCCACUCUGCACUUUUUUCAGUUUCCGGACACAACAUGUUAUACAAUUAACAUACCAGCUUCUAUGUGAUCGAAUUCAGCUCCACCUCAAUCAUUGGAAUUAGCAGCAUGCCAACAAUCACAGUGUGGGCACCAGUUUUUAGUUAUUCACCUGCCUUGCUUUUCUGGUGAAGUCAGGCAGCAUCUUUUCAUUUCAGAAUGUGGCAUGCUGUUGUUUGUGACUUUUUGGCCAUCAGAGCAAUUGUGGAUGGCCCUUCAAUAGACAAAACUUUAUAGGUGUGUGUUUGUGCCAAGUCAAGGGUCAAGUUAUGAAUGAAAAUAUGAAAAUGAAAAGAGAAACAGAGCAGAAAUUCAUUUUACCAUGUCUCUGUUCUUUCCAUGAGGGAUUAGGCUUGUACCUCUUUGGAAGACUCAGAAUCUCCUUUCGGUUUUUCAGUGGCUCCUUUCUCCUAUGACCCGUUCAAGAAUGCUACUUUAUUGUGAACCUUCUAUGCCUUUAUUGAAAAAGAAAAAGUGACAAGAUAUUUCAACUAGUUGAAAAUAGAGGACCCUAAGGCCUGAGAUAGACUGAUGCUAGAUAGAAAAUGCAUAUGUACGGAUAUUCAAACUUAUCUAGAAGAAAUAGAAGCAAAUGAUACAUGAUAAGUUAGUGUCAAAAGGUGAACUAAGUCUUCCACUAGAUAGUCUACUUAGAUGUCAAAAACGUAGUGGGCUCUUUAGCCUCAGGUAGCCUAAAGCUCAAGUUUGGUUGAUGUUACCCAGCAAACUCGAGACAGAUGGAAAUUUCCAGCCUUUUACAGUUCCAUAGAUGUGUGAUUAUUAGGGCUUUUUAAUGUCAUUUGUGAUGGGGUUUGCUAUUGAUGUGAUGCAGAGGUCCUGAAACUAUUAGAAGGGAUGUAAAUCUGGUGAAAGAGUUGGGUGUUUAUGAUCUUAUGGGGAAGGAGAAUUGAGCAAUGGUUCUCUCUUGCAUGUCACUGGGUCAAAGAGGGUCAGGGAGAUAAAACCACUACUUGUGGAGGAUAGUGGAUCUUUUUAGAGACAUUGGCUGAUCAUUUCUUGAAAGUCUAGAUCGGGAAAUCAAGAAGAUGAGAGGCUGAUUUAGAGAGAAGUCAUGUCCUAUGCCAACUUUGUUUGAGUGAGCCAUAUCAUAUACUUCUACCUGGGGUUAAUCUUUAAGGCUGGAGGGUUCAUUGUCUCUUCAUUUUUUUCCCUUUAUUUUUUCCCCCCUAUUGAAUCAUGUUCUUGUACAUCAACUUGUUUGAAGGAUUUCUCAUCCUUCCUUGUAAAUAACUGUUUGCAUAAUAUUAUCACACAAAAACAUAGAUCAUAGACAAGCUAAGAAUUUCUUUAGGAUCCAUAAUGUGAUCUUAUGUUUGCUUCUAUACAUAAUUAUUAGCUUUUAAUCAGCUUAUCUUCAUUGGAC